GAUGAACGCUGGCGGCGUGCCUAAUACAUGCAAGUCGAGCGAACGGACGAGAAGCUUGCUUCUCUGAUGUUAGCGGCGGACGGGUGAGUAACACGUGGAUAACCUACCUAUAAGACUGGGAUAACUUCGGGAAACCGGAGCUAAUACCGGAUAAUAUUUUGAACCGCAUGGUUCAAAAGUGAAAGGCGGUCUUGCUGUCACUUAUAGAUGGAUCCGCGCUGCAUUAGCUAGUUGGUAAGGUAACGGCUUACCAAGGCAACGAUGCAUAGCCGACCUGAGAGGGUGAUCGGCCACACUGGAACUGAGACACGGUCCAGACUCCUACGGGAGGCAGCAGUAGGGAAUCUUCCGCAAUGGGCGAAAGCCUGACGGAGCAACGCCGCGUGAGUGAUGAAGGUCUUCGGAUCGUAAAACUCUGUUAUUAGGGAAGAACAUAUGUGUAAGUAACUGUGCACAUCUUGACGGUACCUAAUCAGAAAGCCACGGCUAACUACGU
rnacentral:rRNA from 1 species